rnacentral:rRNA from 1 species
UGAUACUGAAGAGCUUGAAUGGACUAGAGGUAGGCGGAAUGUGACAAGUAGCGGUGAAAUGCAUAGAUAUGUCACAGAACACCGAUUGCGAAGGCAGCUUACUAUGGUUUUAUUGACGCUGAGGCACGAAAGCGCGGGGAUCAAACAGGAUUAGAUACCCUGGUAGUCCACGCCCUAAACGAUGAAUACUCGCUGUUAGCGAUACACAGUUAGCGGCUAAGCGAAAGCGUUAAGUAUUCCACCUGGGGAGUACGGUCGCAAGAUUGAAACUCAAAGGAAUUGACGGGGGCCCGCACAAGCGGAGGAGCAUGUGGUUUAAUUCGAUGAUACGCGAGGAACCUUACCCGGGCUUGAAAGUUAGUGAAUGAUUUAGAGAUAGAUCAGUGAGCAAUCACACGAAACUAGGUGCUGCAUGGCUGUCGUCAGCUCGUGCCGUGAGGUGUUGGGUUAAGUCCCGCAACGAGCGCAACCCCUAUGUUUAGUUGCCAGCACGUUAUGGUGGGGACUCUAAACAGACUGCCUGUGCAAACAGAGAGGAAGGAGGGGACGACGUCAAGUCAUCAUGGCCCUUACGUCCGGGGCUACACACGUGCUACAAUGGAUGGUACAGAGGGCAGCAAGCUGGCAACAGCAAGCCAAUCUCCAAAAGCCAUUCACAGUUCGGAUAGAGGUCUGCAACUCGACCUCUUGAAGUUGGAUUCGCUAGUAAUCGCAUAUCAGCAAUGAUGCGGUGAAUACGUUCCCGGGCCUUGUACACACCGCCCGUCAAGCCAUGGAAGUUGGGGGUACCUAAAGUAUGUAACCGCAAGGAGCUC